UUAAUAAAGUAGCAUUAGGAGUGAGAUUUAUAGUAACAACCUUACAAUCGAAUGUUAACGCUACUUUAUUAGUUGGAACGAAAAAUGUCACCCUUGAAAACCAAAUGAAUAACCGACUUACGCUAUAUCUAGUAAGGUCAAAAUUAUAAGAACUUAUAUCCAGCGGGGGCAAAAUUAUAGAAUUUAUGAUAAAUUAUUAAUUUUUUGUGAGAUCAAAAAUAUCAGAAUUUAGGUUCAACAGAGUCAAAAUUGUUAGAACUUAUAUUCAGCGAGGUCAAAAUUAUAGAAUUUAUAAAAUUUAAGACUAAAUUACUAUUUUUUUAUGGUGGCAAAUUACUAAUAAAGUAACGUUAGGAGUUAUAUAUUAAUAAUUGCAAUCGGAUGUUAACGCUAUUUUAUUAGUUCGAACCCAAAGCGUCACCCUUGAAAACCAAAUAAAUAACUACUCAGGCUAAGGCUCCGUUUGAUACCAGUUUUUCGGUUGGUUUUUUUAAAAGGUAGAAGCAAAAAAACUAUUGCAAGUUGUGAUUUAUUUAUGGUAAGUAAAAGGAAAUCAAAAAAUCAAAACAACUAAAAAAAAUCUUGACUUUUAAACAUUAUUAAACGGAGCCUAAACCCUGGAGUCUAUUAUAAUUUCUUCCUCACCUACUUAUUUUUUGGAUGAAUUAUCUCACCAACUUUCCCUUCCUUUCUCUUCUUUCUUCUUCCCUUCCCAACUUGCAAACAUUUUUGUGGACUCGCAGCAGAAAUUAUUUUUUUCAAGUAAACUACAUUUUGUACGCUUAUGUUAUUACUAAAAUCUCACUUUACACUAAAAAAAAAAAAAAAAUCUAAUUGUAUCAAUCAACUCCUUGCACUUUAAGUAUACUUUUGGCCAUUUCUUGUGCAAUUAAAUGAUGAAACAGGAUUAGUUAUCCUCGGAAAAUGAUAUCAAAAGCCCCUUAAUUGAAUGGUUAAAAAAACGAACAUGCGAUAAUACUACUUUUGUUUAUAAAUUUGCUAAAAUUAGUAUUAGUUUAGAUAAGAAAGAGACACAACCACUUAAAAAAUUUACGCAUUUAAAAAAAACACAUACAUAAUUUGCUUAGAAAUUAAAUCGAACCACCACUAACUAAACUCGCAUAAUUGAUAUGAAGACUUCGAUUACACCACCAAGAAAAGGAAACAAAAAAAAAAUGUCAUGAAUCACUUAGGCUCUGUUUGGUACCUGUUUUAAAAGUCAAGUUUUUUUACAACAUGUUAUCCAAAAGAUUUUUUUAGUUUUUUGCUUUUCUGUCUUACUUUAACUAAAAAUAAUGCAAAAAUUACUUUUUUUCUUAUUAAGCUUAAAAAAAAAUUAACCGGAAAACUGAUACCAAACAAAGUCUUGGGCUUUCCCAUAAAACCAAUCAAAUUGUUUUCAAAUUUUUUUUUUUUUUUUCAUAUAAUAAAGUUAGCUUUUCAUACCUAACAUCAAGUUGGUGGUAAGAAACAUUCACGACUUGUCGCGCAUGAAGGCUUUUCUUGGGGUUGGCAGUCAUCUUUUUCCUGUAUGUCGUGGUCGCGGACGCCGGGUGUGUAAAAAUGGGGUGGUUAAUGGCGUGUUUGUACAAAGCACAAGACACUAAAGUGGAAAGAAAGUCUAAUAAAAAUAGAGAAAUCAUAGAAGAGAAAAUAUCCAUUUAUCUUGUUUGGUUGGAGAGAGCGUCUGUGUGUAGCGAGAAAAUUUUUGCCAUUUUUAUUGAGGUAUAGGAUUUUCAAGUACCGUGAUAGUUUUUUUUUUUAUACAGUUUGUUUUUUGAUUUUUAGUAUUUUAUUAUUAUUAAAGAUUAAAUUUUUAUAUUAGGUAGGGGUCUUGAGAAGAAAGUUCGAAAUAUAAUUGUGUAUACAAAUUUGAGAAAAAAUCCAUUAGUUGUGGAUAAAAAAUGGCACUAAUUACCCUAUUUGGGACAAGUUUUUUGAAUUUAUAUAGUUGCUUUGAUUUUUAAAUUUUUUCAUCUUUAGGAAUAUUUUUUUUAUUGUGUCAUUAAAACUAGGAUCAGAGCCAGAACUUAGGUUCAGUGGGGUCAAAAUUAUCAGAACUUAUAUUUAGCGGAGUCAAAAUUAUCAGAAUUUAUGUUUAGCGAGGUCAAAAUUAUAAAAUUUAGGACAAAUUACUAAUUUUUAUUGAGUCAAAAUUGUCAGAACUUAGAUUCAACAAGGUCAAAAUUGUCAAAACUUAUGUUCAACAAGAUCAAAAUAAUAAAUUUUAUAUAAUUUAGGAUAAAUUAUUAAUUUUUUGUGGGAUCAAAAUUAUAUUUAUGAUAAAUUAUAUUAGAAAUAAUAAUGUAUUUUUUUCAGUGGGGCCAAUUGGCUUGGUUAAACAUUAGGGAUAAUCAUGGGCCUAGUGUGACUCGGCCUAUGAUUAAAAUUAUUUAAUUUUUUUAUUUUUCUUGACAAAAAAAUUUAAAAAUAUAAUUUUUUAAUGUCUCAAGUGAAUUUCUUGACAAAUUUUUAUAUUAGAAGAGAAUAUAAAUUUUAUCAAAUAAUAAAAAAAAACACUAAAAAAUAAAAUUAUUCCAAACUUCGCCUAAAUAAAUUCACACAAGCAAUCAAUUACUAACUCCAAUUACACGGCCCCACAAAACAAAGACAACGAAAUAGAUAAGAGAAAUGCUAAACGCACAUACCCGAAACACAGAUCGGGUCACAGAUGCAUAGGUGGAUGCCACGUCAGGAAAACGGGUCCCCUUCUACACCAGCUGGCACUAGCAAGAAAAUAAAAAAAAAAAAACAGAGAAAAGAAAUACCCAGCAAAAAACCGAGAGAGAAGACUCGGAAGAGGGUGACGCCGGAAACAACCGACUUCGACGUUGGAACACCGAUUAUUUGAUGGGGAGAGCGAGAGAAGAGGAUCAGUCGAAGCCUGAAAGGAUGACGUGGGGAUCAAGCAAUUGACGAUAACGGAACACUGGUUAAUUUUUCCGCCGUUGCCAGAGGCGGAAGAUCCUGGUAACAGCUCGUCUUCUCCUCCCUCCAGCACCUUAUUAGAAAUUGAGGUCUUCUGUUGUUCAAUUUCUGAUUGCAUUAUGGGUGAUGUGUAAAACCCUAGAACCAGAAGAAAUUAGGGGGGUUUUUGUUGCAUCAUACGGUGGACGGAGAAGAUAGUCUCGCGACCUUGUCUAUCUCUCCUCCUCUCAGUUGAUAUUGAACUUUUGCUUUGAUGAGGUGCCGUUCACCUAUGCAUCUGUGACUCGAUCUGUGUUUUGGUAUGUGCGUGUAGCAUUUCUCCAUAGAGGACCAAUCACACGCUAGUAAGAAACAAAAAGCAAGCAGAGAAGCAUGGGCGGGCGGGAUUCGGAUCCUCUGAAGUGGGAGCUCGGUGGAGUGUUCCUGAAGUGUAGAAAACUACGUUUUGUAUGCUUCAGGAACAAAAGACGUCAUUUUUGUCGUUAUCAUGAAAUGACGUUAAUUAUUUUUGGAGUAUAGAAAAUAACAUCGUUUUGUCUACGCUCCAGGAACACUCUGCUCUCACUUCAGAUAAUCCGAACUCCCUAUGCAUUUGUGACCCGAUCUGUGUUUUGGGUAUGUGCGUGUAGCAUUUCUCCAUAGAGAAGCAAUCACACGCUAGUAAGAAACAAAAAGCAAACAGAGAAGCAUGGCGCGGGUGGGAUUCGGAUCCUCUGAAGUGUAGUGGUAUGAACUGUGUACAAAAUAACAUCGUUUCAUAUAAUUCAGAACCAAAACGAUAUUAUUUUUGUAAUUUUUGUCUUGACUUUGAAACGACAUCGUUUUACUGUUAAUUAAAACAACGUUAUUUUCUGAAGUUACAAUUUUAUACACUUCAAGCACAUUUCACGACCCCACACUUUAGAGGAUCUGAACUCGGGAGAAAGUGAAGGCAGUGCCCAUCCACAUCACACAGUAAGAAAAAUUAUGGGAGAGAGAGAGAAGCAUUCACCUUUUAUGGUAAAAUUGGCAUCCUUAUCUGUUGUUUAAAUUUACACUCUAAGGCUCGAGUUGGCUGGAGGAUAUAGGAUAGGAGGGGAUAAUUGUUAACUUUAUUUGGGAUACAUUUUAGAAUGGAUGGAUAAGGGUGGAGAUACAGAAGAAACAUAUAUAGAGGAAACAAAAUAUAAAAAAUUAUUAGAUAUUUAAAAAAUAUAUUUUAUUCUCUCUCUAUAUAUAAAAAAAAUUAUACAUUUUGUGUCUCUUAUAAUUUUUUUGUAUCCUCCGGAUAAUUUUAGUUAUGGGCUAGGGCCACCCAAAAAUUAUACGCAUCUAUCCACCCCGGAGGCAAUAAAUAUCCGCCUCCAUAUUAGUAGCCAAACACGGAAGAAAAAAAUAAAUGAGGAAAAAAGGUAUCUCCUCCAAAAUCCGUAACCAAAGACCCCUAAUAGUAAAAGAAUAACCAACUUCACUUAAAAUUAUUUUUUUAUAGAUAGGAUCUUCAUUAGAAAUUGUGUAAAAUUUUUUACUCCCCUUGUAUUAUUACUAUUAUUAUUAUUUUUUUUUAGAAAAUUCAACUUUUAAACGAGUUAAAUAUGUUUUCUUAACUUUUCAAUAAUAUCAUCCAAUAUUUUAAAAUUACUUUUUUAAAAAAUAGUUGGAUCGCAUCAAUUCAACAAUGUAGGAGUAAAAUAAAAAACUCACGAUUUUUUGCCAAUUAACUUCUAAAGGGGACAAAUAUUUUGAAAUCAUUUGAAAUUAAAAAAAUAGACAAAUAAAUUGAGAUAAAAGAAGUAUAUUCAUUUUUAUUUUUUACUUAGAUUCAUUUUAUCUCAUUUAAACAUAAGAUUACAUUUUAAAUAGUACAUUAUUCCCUCUAUACCUGAUACUGAUCCAAAUGUUAUUGAAUGUUCUAAAAUAACAACACAAAACAAAAACAAAAAAAAAAAAAAACAAAAAAAAACAAAUAUGUUUACUUUUAAAAGCCACAAAAAAAUUAUAAUUUCCUCAUUUCACGAUUUUUUAUAACAUUCCAAACAAAAUAAAUAGUCAAAAGUAAUGAUAACAAAAAUAAAAUUAAAAAAUCAAUCAAAAUUAAAUGUAAUAAUAUAAUUUUUGCACCGACAUCAUGAAUGUAUUAGACUCUAAAAAAAUUUAAAAAAUAGGCAAAUAAUUUGGAUGAAAUAAGUAUAUUCUUUUUUUUUACUUAGAUUCAUUUUAUCUCAUUUAAACCUAAGAUUACAUUUUAAGUAGCACAUUUUUUCCUUUAUCUUAUAUCGUUGGUCUAUUAUUUUAUUUUAAAAUAUUCUAAAAAAUAUGUAAACUUUCAAAAGUCACAAAAAAAUAUAUAAUUUUCCCUUUUUACGACUUUUUUAUAAGAUUUUAACCAAAAUAAAAAGGAAGCGAUAACAAGGAUAAAUUGAAAAAUCAAUCAAAAUUAAAUGUAAUUAUUAUUUUUGUUAAAAAAUAAUAAAUUUUUUAAAAAAUAUCAAUAAUGUGGAGCCCAUAUCAUUAAUGUACUAGAUUCAGAGUAUAUUGACACCCUUAUAAAAGUUGAAUACCUAAAAUGAAAAUAAAAUUAAGGUAUUUUUUCAUUUCUAAAUAUUCUAAAAUAUAUGUUGACUUUCAAAAGUCACAAAAACAUACAAUUUCUCCUUUUACGGUUUAUUUUUAUAAUAUUUUAACCCAAAUAAAAAGUCAGAAGCAACGAUAACAUGGAUAAAAUUAAAAAAUAAAUAAAAAUUAUAUAUAAAAAUUAUAUUUCUUAAAAACGUUGCAUUCUUAAAAAAAUUACGAAAUAGUAUAAUAUUUGCACCCACGUCAUGAAUACAUUAGAUUCACAGUAUAUUGAUUCUAUAAAAAUAAAAAAGAAGACAAAUAAAUAUGGAUGAAAGAAGUAUAUUCUUUUUUUUUCCUUUUUUACUUAGAUUCAUUUUAUCUCGUUUAAACUAAAUAUUUCAUUUUAAGUAGUACAUGAUUUAUUAUUUUAUUUAAAAUGUUCUAAAAUAUAUGUUAACUUUCAAAAGUCACAAAAAAAUAUACAAUUUUAUCUUUUUAUGAUUUUUUUUAUAAGAUUUCAACCAAAAUAAAAAAUCAAACAGGCAACGAUAUCAGGGAUAAAAUUAAAAAAUCAAUCAAAAUUAAAUCUAAUAAUUAUGUUUCUUAAAAAAAAUUAAAUUUCUAAAAUAUUACCAACAAUGUGGGACCCAUGUAAUGAAUGUACUAGAUUCAGAGUAUAUUGACACUCUUAUAAAAAAUUGAAUACCUUAAAUGAAAAUAAAAUUAAAGAAUCGUAUUAAAAGCUAAACUAAAUUGUCACUAAAUACUAAUUAAAUUAUUGUUUAAUAUAAUUUCGCCGAAAAAGAAGAAGCCAACACCCAAGCCCCUUGUCGACUCCCGUUGCCAUACAAUCCGGUGAGGGUUUCCAUAAAAAUCCGUGCCAUGCGCACAGUUUAUCUCUUCACUUUCCUAUUUUCGGCAUGUACCGUGAAAAUUACCAAAAAAGGGUUAACUAUCCACGUGGCGAUUGCUCACUAACGCAUGUAGGUCCUCUUGUUCCAACGCCUACCUUCCUCUUGCUCUAAUUAGGAUAAAUUUUACAAUUGGUCAUUUUAGUUUGACUAAUAUUUCAUUUUGGUCCGUAUAAUUUUAAUUUAAACAAAGCUUAAUUUUAAUUUAACCAUUUCGAGUUUUAUCUAAGAUUCACUUUAGUCCUUAUAGCUCUAAUUGGAACAGAACAAACCUUACAGUUUUGUAUUAGUUGUUGCGUUCGCCUUUUGUUCAACGGUAGAGUAAAACUAUGGUCAAAUUCGAAGGGAUAAAAAUAAAAUUAACCCUUUAAAAAAUCAAAGUUUUAAUUUGAUUCUAAUGCAAUUUUUUUGUCAAUAUCAGUUAAGUAUUUAGUUAAAAAGUGAUCAAGUAAAACUUACAUGACCCUAUUUAGGGACUAAAAUAAAAUUUUAUUCAACAUAUAUGUAUCAUACGAGGAUCUUUGUAGUCUCAAUAGACACUAUGUAAUCAUUAUCAUACCUUUUGGCCAUUAACAGAAAAAAAUAAAACGGCCAAUAGAACUAAUUUUAAGGACUGAAGUAAAGUUUUAGUCAAAGUACAAAGACCAAUAGUGUUAAAAUUACCUCAAAAAAAGGGUUAUGUAAGUUUUAAGUACUAAUUUUAAAAGAAAAUUCUUAACAGGAUGGAUGAGGGAGUAAAUUAUAACCAAAUUAAAUACACAAUGUUCUAUUUGUUUAAAUUAAAAUAUAGAGAAAAAAUUUAUUUUGGUCAAACUAUAGGGCCAAUGGUGAAAUUUACUGUCCGAGUUAAUCUAACCGUCGGCAAAGUUAAACUUAGCAUCCAAGGUGACCGCCAAAUCAUGACGCGUUGGACUAAUCGACCGUCCAUAGAGUGCCACGUGGAUCUAAUUGUUUAGGGUGGGGCCUUUUUUUUUUUUUGUGUGUGUAGCCCUAUAUCUUGAAGUCAUUGUGACCGAAUUCCUAUAAAAACAGAAGUUGUUGCAACGCUCUAAAAGUUUCAUUGAAGGCGUUUCAUAUUCGUGCUGAAUCUGAAUCGACUGCAUAAUUUUCUCUCUCUGUCCUU
rnacentral:lncRNA from 1 species